AACGAACGCUGGCGGCAGGCUUAACACAUGCAAGUCGAACGGGCAUCUUCGGAUGUCAGUGGCAGACGGGUGAGUAACACGUGGGAACGUGCCCAUCGGUUCGGACUAACCCAGGGAAACUUGGGCUAAUGCCGGAUACGACCGUGAGGUGAAAGAUUUAUCGCCGAUGGAUCGGCCCGCGUCUGAUUAGCUAGUUGGUGGGGUAACGGCUCACCAAGGCGACGAUCAGUAGCUGGUCUGAGAGGAUGAUCAGCCACACUGGGACUGAGACACGGCCCAGACUCCUACGGGAGGCAGCAGUGGGGAAUAUUGGACAAUGGGCGCAAGCCUGAUCCAGCCAUGCCGCGUGAGUGAUGAAGGCCCUAGGGUUGUAAAGCUCUUUCGCACGCGACGAUAAUGACGGUAGCGUGAGAAGAAGCCCCGGCUAACUUCGUGCCAGCCGCCGCCGUAACAC
rnacentral:rRNA from 1 species